rnacentral:rRNA from 1 species
UGCCGCGUGUAUGAAGAAGGCCUUCGGGUUGUAAAGUACUUUCAGUUGUGAGGAAGGGUGUGUAGUUAAUAACUGCGCAUCUUGACGUUAGCAACAGAAGAAGCACCGGCUAACUCCGUGCCAGCAGCCGCGGUAAUACGGAGGGUGCGAGCGUUAAUCGGAAUUACUGGGCGUAAAGCGCAUGCAGGUGGUUCAUUAAGUCAGAUGUGAAAGCCCGGGGCUCAACCUCGGAACUGCAUUUGAAACUGGUGAACUAGAGUACUGUAGAGGGGGGUAGAAUUUCAGGUGUAGCGGUGAAAUGCGUAGAGAUCUGAAGGAAUACCAGUGGCGAAGGCGGCCCCCUGGACAGAUACUGACACUCAGAUGCGAAAGCGUGGGGAGCAAACAGGAUUAGAUACCCUGGUAGUCCACGCCGUAAACGAUGUCUACUUGGAGGUUGUGGCCUUGAGCCGUGGCUUUCGGAGCUAACGCGUUAAGUAGACCGCCUGGGG